AUUGAACGCUGGCGGCAUGCUUUACACAUGCAAGUCGAACGGCAGCGGGGAGGAGCUUGCUUCUCUGCCGGCGAGUGGCGAACGGGUGAGUAAUACAUCGGAACGUGUCGAGAAGAGGGGGAUAACCACCCGAAAGGGUGGCUAAUACCGCAUAAAUUCGGAGGAAGAAAGCUGGGGACCUAGGAAUAGGACUAGCGCUUUUUGAGCGGCCGAUGUCGGAUUAGCUAGUUGGUGAGGGAAAGGCUCACCAAGGCGAAGAUCUGUAGCGGGUCUGAGAGGAUGAUCCGCCACACUGGGACUGAGACACGGCCCAGACUCCUACGGGAGGCAGCAGUGGGGAAUUUUGGACAAUGGGGGCAACCCUGAUCCAGCCAUGCCGCGUGUAUGAAGAAGGCCUUAGGGUUGUAAAGUACUUUUGUUAGGGAAGAAAAGUCAGCUGUGAAUAAUGGCUGAUACUGACGGUACCUAAAGAAUAAGCACCGGCUAACUACGUG
rnacentral:rRNA from 1 species